AGGACGUCCAUCUUCUCCUGCCCUCAGACAUCAGAGGUCCUGGUUUCUUAGGCCUUCGGACUCCAAGACUUAUUUAUACCAGCAGUCCUCCCAGUUCUCAGGCCUUCAGCCUCAGACUGAGAAUUAUAUCAUCGGCUCCCUUGGUUCUCAGGCCUUCAGACUCAGAGUCUGAACUGGGAGUUAUACCAUCAGCUUUCCUCCUUGUCCAGCUUGCAGAAGGCAGACUGGGACUUCUCAGCCUUCGUAAUCAGCACUUUCUCAGGAAUGUUGAGGAGUGACAUAGAUGAACAUGUCAAUGGAAGGGGGAGGUGAGGAAAGAGUUUGCCCAAGACCACACAACAAGUAGUUGCUGACUUCAGAUUCCCGGAGGACUCAUGAUACUCUCAUGAAUCUCCACAGAUUCUCUUGAUUAAAUGAGUUAACACCAGAAAUACAAGCCCCCAAGGCCUUCUAUCAUCAUGCAG